UCCUAAUUAGCUCAGUCGGUAGAGCGCUCCACUGGAAAUGGAGAGGACCAUGGUUCGAUACCAGGACCAGGCG
rnacentral:tRNA from 1 species